rnacentral:rRNA from 1 species
UGGGGAAUUUUGCGCAAUGGGCUAACGCCUGACGCAGCAACGCCGCGUGGAGGAUGAAGGUCCUUGGAUCGUAAACUCCUGUCAGCAGGGAAAAAGCAACUGCACCGAAUACGUGCGGGAGUUGAUUGUACCUGCAGAGGAAGCCCCGGCUAACUCUGUGCCAGCAGCCGCGGUAAUACAGAGGGGGCGAGCGUUAUUCGGAAUUAUUGGGCGUAAAGGGCGCGUAGGCGGCUUUGCAAGUGAAGGGUGAAAUCCCUCGGCUUAACCGAGGAACUGCCCGUCAUACUGCUUAGCUUGAGACCGGGAGAGGUGAGUGGAAUUCCCAGUGUAGCGGUGAAAUGCGUAGAUAUUGGGAGGAACACCAGUGGCGAAGGCGGCUCACUGGACCGGUACUGACGCUGAGGCGCGAAAGCGUGGGGAGCAAACAG